UACGUAGGGUGCAAGCGUUGUCCGGAAUCAUUGGGCGUAAAGCGCGCGUAGGUGGCCAUUUAAGUCCGCUGUGAAAGUCAAAGGCUCAACCUUUGAAAGCCGGUGGAUACUGGAUGGCUAGAGUACGGAAGAGGCGAGUGGAAUUCCUGGUGUAGCGGUGGAAUGCGCAGAUAUCAGGAGGAACACCAAUAGCGAAGGCAGCUCGCUGGGACGUUACUGACACUGAGGCGCGAAAGCGUGGGGAG
rnacentral:rRNA from 1 species